CGGUAAGGAGCCUCCGGAAAUGUGGGACGCAAGCCUGGGGUGUCGCGGCAGUGGCUGAAGCUUCCCUUCGCCGCAUCUCUCUGCAGCUCCUCGGUGUACUCUUCUAUGAGGUUUGACAAACAUUAUGCCUUUUACUAUCACCAUGAUCGAGAUACAGAACAUUUUCAUCACCUCAGAAAGUUCCUACCUGCUCCUUUGUAGUCAGCCCCCUCCACCCUUCCUAUUCCCUGGCACCCACUGAUUUGAUUUCUGUCCCUGCAAGUGUUGCCUUUUCCAGAAUGCCAUAUAAAUGGAAUCAUAGGCUAUACGCCUUUUGUGUGUGGCGUCUUUCAUUUAGCAUAAUGCUUUUGAAAUUCAUUCAUGUUACUUGUGUCUGUAGUUUGUUUCUUUUUAUUGCUGAGUAGUAUUCCAUUGCAUGGAUGUACCAUCGUUUAUCCAUUUUCUAGUUGUGGACCUCUGGGUUGUUUACAGUUUUUUAGCUAUAUUAUUAACGAAGCAUUGUUUUAGCUAUAUUAUUAACGAAACUCGAAACAUUCGAGUACGAGGAAAGAUGUCUUUAAUGAUCUUAAUAGCAUGGAGUUCCUCACCCCUUACUCCACAUCCAAGUAAACAUUGGAUUAUGAUUCAAAGACCACUAAUGUUUCUGUUAACUUAGAUGGGGGGCAGACUAGGCCAUGCCUGUCACUUUGCAAGAUACACACCAACGUCCGAUUCUUCUGUAUUUCCAACCACAGGAAACCUACCUCUGAAACUUCCUGUUUUGAUAGAUUUAAAAAAAAAUUUUUUUAGCUCCAGGUUGGGUGCUGGUCAUUCAUGCAUACAGCAAACUUUUUAAAAUUCUUACCACAUUCAAAGCACUGUACCUUCUUGAAAAAGGCAAGGCAAGCAGAUGCUUUAAGCAUUCAGAUGAAUAGAAAAAAUGCAUUCUCAAAGAGGACUUCUUAUUUCAUUGCUCCAGAAUUAAGGCACCAGUAGAAAAA